GGAAGAGAAAGAGAAGCGUUGAAUAGAACAAGUAGCAACGCUAAGUUUUAUGGUGAGGUGACCCACCUCGCUUUGAAUCCGCGGCACUAUCACGGUAGCACGCAAAGCGCGCGAUGCACGCAACCUAACCUAACCCCUAAUCGCAACCUAACCUAACCUAACCUAACCCUAACCUAAUCUUAACGUAACGCCUUGAUUCACAACGUUCGUAAUCCGUGCGCUCAGGCUCAGGGUGCAUAGCCUAACCUUACGAUCCGCGCUCGCGCGCGUGCCCGCGCUCGCGCGGUGAAACAACAAAGGAUCUUCCUUGUCACGAAAGUGUAACCAUCAAACAUACAGUUUGCCAUUGCCGCUACUACUGCCGUUCGUUCGUUCGCUCGCUCAUUCGUUCAUGACCGUUAGUGUGGUCGCUCCUUUUCGUACAAAUCACGAGAGUCGCAUUCGAUGCUUACAUUAUUGUAGCACCUGUCGACCAGUGACGGUGUCGUUCGCGACAUAUUACAACAAUUCGGUUUUUGGUCGUGCGUAACAUCAAGAUCGUCAACACGAUCGACAUAGUGGUCAAUCGCUUCCGCUUUCGGUGCUUCUGAUUGACACAAUUUGUUCGACUUUGUCAUAUUUUUUUCGAAAAAAUAAAUUCCUAAUACUUAAUGUGAAAAAGCCACUUUCGCGGUAAGACAUUCAAAUGUCUCGAUAAUCGAAAACACCUAGAUCUCUCGAAUAUGAUCUUUCGCGCAAGUUUCGAUCCAAAUCGCGGUCAGCAGGAUAUAUAUUAUUCGCGCGAGUCAUGAAUUAUCACAUUCGCGUUACGAGCUACUACGCGAGUCGCGAUUGGUGAAUACACUGAAGCGAGUUAAACCGAUUCUCUCUCGGAGUGUGAUACGACGAGGUUGACAUCGUGUUGCAGCAAAAUCAUACGAUGAGCGACGGUAUAGUCGGUGCAAUUGCGAUCAGUUUGUUCGGUACUAGUUGUCAAACUGUGUCUGUGCGUGAUAGAUUGCUUUUCAUUCACAAAGACUCGUUCCAGGCGGCGAGAAGAAACAUCGGGUCAGUAUGGAUGCUGGUUAUUCCAUUCUCAAUAACGAUCUUGAAUCUUGCAGAAUGUAUAACCAGUAUUCCUACAAGGGACGAACGAGGACAAGGAGAGAAGCUUACUGACGUAACAAACACAAUUGACUCGGUGAUACUGACCAGAAAAUGGCUGCCACGACGCAAACAAAUGAGCAAGUCCAACCAUUUCCAUGGCAACAAUCUCAAUCAGAUAGGAGCUAGCGAAGCAGAGAACAGAGAGCACGCUGGAUAAUAUAUUCGAUACAGGCUAUUCAGGUACAUAUCUUUGCCAUCGAUGACUUGCAUAUUAGUGGCAAAUCGAAAAAAGGCAGUGAACAGUGCAAGAAACCGGUUACCAUUGUUACAUAGCGUCGUCGCUACCACGAGAGUCAUCGACUAUGAAUAUAUAUCCGAGAUAUAUCUAUAUCAUGAAGUAAACUCUUAUUUCAUACGUGUGUAUGUAUAUCAUACAUAGUAAUGCUAUGGAAUUAUUUAUUUCGAAAACUCUGUCUGUCCUUUUGAAUAGAAUAAACUAUGAAGUAAAAGAAAUUAGGAGCAAGAAUUUAGGAGGAGAUAAAAAUCAAAUUAAAUAGGCGAUCAAGUUUGCUUUACUCCUGAAGGCACAAUGUUUCUCUAUUAUAUGUUUCUAUUUUAAGAUCGAAUGAAAUGGUUAUGACGCAUAAAAUAAAGUCAACGUUCGAGUAAUCUAUCUAACGCUAGAUAAAAUACAAGCAUCUGACAAAAGAUACAAUUAGCGGAUUUUGAGUUUAGAUUUAAUUUUAUCAUCUAGAUU